rnacentral:rRNA from 1 species
GUGGGGAAUCUUCCGCAAUGGACGAAAGUCUGACGGAGCAACGCCGCGUGAGUGAAGAAGGUUUUCGGAUCGUAAAGCUCUUUCGUUAGGGACGAACGUGCUCUUUGUGAAUAAUGAGGAGUAAUGACGGUACCUAAAUAAGAAGCCACGGCUAACUACGUGCCAGCAGCCGCGGUAAAACGUAGGUGGCAAGCGUUGGCCGGAAUUAUUGGGCGUAAAGCGCGCGCAGGCGGGAUAUCAAGUCUGUCUUAAAAGUGCGAGGCUCAACCUCGUGAGGGGACAGAAACUGGUAUUCUUGAGUGUCGGAGAGGAAAGUGGAAUUCCAAGUGUAGCGGUGAAAUGCGUAGAGAUUUGGAAGAACACCAGUGGCGAAGGCGACUUUCUGGACGAUGUCUGACGCUGAGGCGCGAAAGCUAGGGGAGCGAACGGGAUUAGAAACCCGAGUAGUCC